UUGACCUCGGAUCAGGUAGGGAUACCCGCUGAACUUAAGCAUAUCAAUAAGCGGAGGAAAAGAAACCAACAGGGAUUGCCCCAGUAACGGCGAGUGAAGCGGCAAAAGCUCAAAUUUGAAAUCUGGCCUCCUACGGGGGUCCGAGUUGUAAUUUGUAGAGGAUGCUUCGGGUGUGGCCGCCGUCUAAGUUCCUUGGAACAGGACGUCAGAGAGGGUGAGAAUCCCGUCUUGGGCGGCCGGUCCGCGCCCGUGUGAAGCUCCUUCGAAGAGUCGAGUUGUUUGGGAAUGCAGCUCUAAGCGGGUGGUAAAUUUCAUCUAAAGCUAAAUACUGGUCGGAGACCGAUAGCGAACAA
rnacentral:rRNA from 1 species